CUGCAGGCUGAAACUCGCCUGCACGAAGUUGGAAUUGCUAGUAAUCGCGGAUCAGCAUGCCGCGGUGAAUACGUUCCCGGGUCUUGUACACACCGCCCGUCACACCAUGGGAGCUGGUAACACCCGAAGUCAGUAGUCUAACCGCAAGGAGGACGCUGCCGAAGGUGGGAUUAGCGACUGGGGUGAAGUCGUAACAAGGUACC
rnacentral:rRNA from 1 species